GUCCAAGGAUGGGAAUCAAACACACAGUGUUCCGCUUACAAGGCAGAUACCAUGUCCACUAGGCUACCCUGGA
rnacentral:tRNA from 1 species